GGGGCUGAUCGGUUUCGACGGGGAUCGUUGAUUCAGGAGAAGCGGGCCGAGGAGACGUGGUUAUCUCGUAAACGCUCCACGUGAACAAUAAGUGCGAAAUCUAACCGCACCGGCUUCGCCCUCGCCGCCUAAGGCGUAGGGCCUGCCCGUCAACCCAGGAACGGCUGCGGCCUGGUGUUUGGCGUCGUCAAGCAGCCCACUGCUCGUCCACUGUGUCACCCGGUGGGCGGGGACUU
rnacentral:tmRNA from 1 species